GAUGAACGCUGGCGGCGCGCUUAACACAUGCAAGUCGAACGAUGAAGCCCAGCUUGCUGGGUGGAUUAGUGGCGAACGGGUGAGUAACACGUGAGUAACCUGCCCUUAACUCUGGGAUAAGCCUGGGAAACUGGGUCUAAUACCGGAUAGGAGCGUCCACCGCAUGGUGGGUGUUGGAAAGAUUUAUCGGUUUUGGAUGGACUCGCGGCCUAUCAGCUUGUUGGUGAGGUAAUGGCUCAACAAGGCGACGACGGGUAGCCGGCCUGAGACGGUGACCGGCCACACUGGGACUGGGACACGGCCCAGACUCCUACGGGAGGCAGCAGUGGGGAAUAUUGCACAAGGGGCGAAAGCCUGAUGCAGAGACGCCGCGUGAGGGAUGACAGCCUUCGGGUUGUAAACCUCUUUCAGUAGGGAAGAAGCGAAAGUGACGGUACCUGCAGAAGAAGCACCGGCUAACUACGUGCCAGCAGCCGCGGUAA
rnacentral:rRNA from 1 species